GACAGAGGGGGCAAGCGUUGCUCGGAAUUACUGGGCGUAAAGGGCGCGUAGGCGGAAUGGCAAGUCGGUCGUGAAAUCCUUCGGCUCAACCGAAGAACGUCGAUCGAAACUGCCGUUCUUGAGGAUUGCAGAGGAGACUGGAAUUCCCGGUGUAGCGGUGAAAUGUGUAGAGAUCCGGAGGAACACCAGCGGCGAAGGCGGCAUCCUGGACUGGUACUGACGCUCAGGAGCGAAAGCGUGGGGAGCGAUCCGG
rnacentral:rRNA from 1 species